rnacentral:rRNA from 1 species
CCCUUAGAUGUUCUGGGCCGCACGCGCGCUACACUGAUGCAUUCAACGAGUUUUUCCUGGUCCGAGAGGAAUGGGUAACCUUUUGAAAGUGCAUCGUGCUAGGGAUAGACUAUUGCAAUUAUUGGUCUUCAACGAGGAAUUCCUAGUAGACGCAGUUCAUCAGACUGCAUCGAUUACGUCCCUGCCCUUUGUACACACCGCCCGUCGCUCCUACCGAUUGGAUGAUCCGGUGAGCUAUUCGGACUUUCAUCAUGCUGGUUUCCAGUUUUGAUGAAGGAAAGUCUUGCGAACCUUAUCAUUUAGAGGAAGGAGAAGUCGUAACA